rnacentral:rRNA from 1 species
UACGGGGGGGGCAAGCGUUGUUCGGAAUUACUGGGCGUAAAGGGCUCGUAGGCGGCCUACUAAGUCAGACGUGAAAUCCCCCGGCUUAACCUGGGAACUGCGUCUGAUACUGGAAGGCCUGAGGAUGGGAGAGGGAUGUAGAAUUCCAGGUGUAGCGGUGAAAUGCGUAGAUAUCUGGAGGAAUACCGGUGGCGAAGGCGGCAUCCUGGACCAUUACUGACGCUGAGGCGCGAAAGCGUGGGUAGCAAACAGG